rnacentral:rRNA from 1 species
GUGGUUAAGUUACUAAGGGCACACGGUGGAUGCCUUGGCGCUAGGAGCCGAUGAAGGACGCAGCGAACUGCGAUAAGCCUCGGGGAGCGGUAAGCACGCUUUGAUCCGGGGAUCUCCGAAUGGGGCAACCCACCAUCCGUAAUGGGAUGGUAUCCGUCACUGAAUCCAUAGGUGGCGCGAGGGCAGACCCGGUGAACUGAAACAUCUAAGUAGCCGGAGGAAGAGAAAACAAUAGUGAUUCCGUCAGUAGUGGCGAGCGAACGCGGAAGAGCCUAAACCGUCAGGUUUACCUGGCGGGGUUGUGGGGCGUCUCACAUGGAGUUACAAAAGACGCGCGUAGGUGAACAGUCUGGGAAGGCUGACCACAGAGCGUGACAGUCGCGUAACCUAAACGCGCGUCUCUCCGAGACCAACCCCGAGU